AACGGACCCAGCUAAGGUACCUAGAAUCGGAAUCAUCCCUCGAUAUGCAAAAGACGAGUCGGAAAUCAGGUGGUUUGAUGUGCCUGGUUUCAACCUCAUACAUGCCAUCAAUGCAUGGGAUGAAGAUGAUGGCAACGCCAUAGUCUUGCUGGCACCCAACAUUCUAUCAGUAGAGCACACCCUGGAGAGAAUGGACCUGGUCCAUGCUUUAGUGGAGAAGGUUAGAAUCGACUUAAGAACAGGGCUAGUAACAAGGCACCCCAUUUCAGCAAGAAAUCUGGAUUUCGCAGUAUUAAAUCCAGCUUAUGUUGCAAAGAAGAACAAAUAUGUGUACGCGGCGGUUGGGGACCCAAUGCCAAAAAUAGCAGGAGUGGUGAAACUGGAUGUGUCUAAGGGAGAGCGGCAGGAGUGUAGUAGAAUGUAUGGGCCGGGCUGCUUUGGUGGGGAGCCAUUCUUUGUUGCCAAGGAGCCACAAAAUCCUGAGGCAGACGAG
rnacentral:lncRNA from 1 species